rnacentral:SRP_RNA from 1 species
GCCGGGUGCGGUGGCGCGUGCCUGUAGUGCCAGCUACUCGGGAGGCUGAGGUGGGAGGAUCGCUUGAGCCCAGGAGUUCUGGGCUGUAGUGCACUAUGCGAAUCAGGUGUCUGCACUAAGUUCGGCCUCAAUAUGGUGACCUCCCGGGAGCGGGGGACCACCAGGUUGCCUAAGGAGGGGUGAACCAGCCCAGGUGGGAAACGGAGCAGGUCAAAACUCCUGUGCUGAUCAGUAGCGGGAUCGCGCCUGUGCAUAGCCACUGCACUCCAGCCUGGGCAACAUAGUGAGACCCUGUCUCU